rnacentral:pre_miRNA from 2 species
UGUUUGACAGAAGAUAGAGAGCACAGAUGAUGAUGUGCAAUUUUUGGAUUCUGCAUCUCACUCCUUUGUGCUCUCUAUGCUUCUGUCAUCA